rnacentral:rRNA from 1 species
GUCGGGAAUAUUGCGCAAUGGAGGAAACUCUGACGCAGUGACGCCGCGUAUAGGAAGAAGGUUUUCGGAUUGUAAACUAUUGUCGUUAGGGAAGAGAAAGGACAGUACCUAAGGAGGAAGCUCCGGCUAACUACGUGCCAGCAGCCGCGGUAAUACGUAGGGAGCGAGCGUUAUCCGGAAUUAUUGGGUGUAAAGGGUGCGUAGACGGGAAGAUAAGUUAGUUGUGAAAUCCCUCGGCUUAACUGAGGAACUGCAACUAAAACUGUUUUUCUUGAGUGCAGGAGAGGUAAGUGGAAUUCCUAGUGUAGCGGUGAAAUGCGUAGAUAUUAGGAGGAACACCAGUGGCGAAGGCGACUUACUGGACUGUAACUGACGUUGAGGCACGAAAGUGUGGGGAGCAAACAGGAUUAGAAACCCUAGUAGUCC